GGUUAUCCCUCUGAGGUUGUGUGGCGGAUGGGCUGGAGGGAGUGAGACGAGGGACGAUGAUCCUAGCUGGGGAAGAUGGGGCAGGGAAGUGGGGUGGAGAGGCGAGACAGGGAAGAGAGAUUCAGGAGGUUGAAGGACAGGUCUUGGUGGCUGACUUGCGUGGGAGGUGAGUGGAAGGAAGCAGGAAGACCCCCAGGCUUCAGGCUUCCCAAAAGAUGGGAAGACCAGGGGGAGCCUGGGUGUCUUGACGCCACACAGGAGUGCACUUCCAGAAUCUGCCACCAGAGGGCAGACAAGUGCUUCCGCCAGGGAGGCAGUUAGAGAUGGACUCAUCCUGGGGCACCAGGCAGGGUGGGGACCCGGGGUGCCCCCGGCCAAGUCAGGUCACCUGGGCCUACUCAGAGGCCAGGGUUCCAAUCCCAAUUUUGGAGUAGCAGAGGGUGUUUGUUGACCUCAAUGCCAGUAUUCCCCAGGGGAGACUGAGUGUCCGUGCCCAUGUUGGUGAGUGGACGCUAGGUCCAGUCUACAUCGCUGGGUUUGCAGUGAAUAUGAUCGAGGUGCUUUGCUUGGAGGCUACUGAUGCCAAAGACCCAAGCACUCAGUUCUGAGAUCACUGAGGCAGCAGGCUAGAGCUGCGGGUCAGGGGGAGGUUGGUACUCAGGCCAAAGGCCUAUUCUGAAGGCAACUGGCUACAGGUCUCAAAUUCUGGUGUUGAGUUAUUGAGAUGCUGAGACCAGAAGCUUCCAUCUGGGGUGAUCAAGACUAGGGUCCCAGGGCCGGAGGUGGUGGUUCAUGCCUGUAAUUCCAGCACUUUGGAAGGCCAAGACGCUUGAGCCCAGGAGUUCAAGAUCAGCCUGGGCAACAUAGUAAGACUCCAUCAAAAAUAUGAAAACCUGCCAGAUGCGGUGGCUCAUGCCUGUAAUCCCAGCAAGUUGGGAGGUUGAGGCAGGCGGAUCACGAGGUUAGGAGUUUGAGACCAGCCUGGCCAACAUGGUGAAACCCAUCUCUACUUAAAAAAAAAAAAAAAAAAUAUUAUCCAGGUGUGGUGGUGCACGCUUGUAAUCCCAGCUACUUGGGAGGCUGAGGCAGGAGAAUGGCUUGAACCCAGGAGGUGGAGGUUGCAG
rnacentral:lncRNA from 1 species